rnacentral:rRNA from 1 species
CCUACGGGAGGCAGCAGUGAGGAAUAUUGGUCAAUGGACGAGAGUCUGAACCAGCCAAGUAGCGUGAAGGAUGACUGCCCUAUGGGUUGUAAACUUCUUUUAUAAAGGAAUAAAACGAGGCACGUGUGCCUUUUUGCAUGUACUUUAUGAAUAAGGAUCGGCUAACUCCGUGCCAGCAGCCGCGGUAAUACGGAGGAUCCGAGCGUUAUCCGGAUUUCUUGGGUUUAAAGGGAGCGUAGAUGGGUUGUUAAGUCAGUUGUGAAAGUUUGCGGCUCAACCGUAAAAUUGCAAUUGAUACUGGCAGUCUUGAGUACAGUUGAGGUAGGCGGAAUUCGUGGUGUAGCGGUGAAAUGCUGAGAUAUCACGAAGAACCCCGAUUGCGAAGGCAGCUUACUAAACUGUGACUGACAUUGAUGCUCGAAAGUGUGGGUAUCAAACAGGAUUAGAUACCCCAGUAGUC